CUAAAACAUGCCUCUUGAUUUAAAAUAUGCUAAAAAAUAAUUCUCUCUUUGUUAGAUUAACUUGAAUUUAAUUUUUGUUUGGUCAAAAAUUAUCAAAUUCAUGUCUCUUCCUUUUUUUUGUAUUUGAACAAAAUUAUACUUAAGCUUUAAAUUUUAACUUGAAUUCAACAUUUCAUAAAUUCUUUACCUCCUUUUUGCAACAAAUUCAGAUUGAAUUUCUUUCCUUGUUUUUGAAUAAUAUAGAUUCAAAAGUACUUUUCCUAUCCUGAAUAGUGUAGAUUUAGAAUGCAUUGCUCCCUUUUUGCAUUAAAUGAAUUCUCAAAUUUAGUUACAAGAUUAUUUUCAACUUUAAAGAUCCAACACGUUUAAAUUUGUAGACAUCAUUUCUUUCUUUCUUUCUUUAAGAGUUAUCAAUCCAUUUGAGUUCAGAAAGAGAUAUAAAAACUUU
rnacentral:lncRNA from 1 species